UACGUAGGGGGCAAGCGUUGUCCGGAUUUAUUGGGCGUAAAGAGCUCGUAGGCGGCUUGUCACGUCGGGUGUGAAAGACCGGGGCUUAACUCCGGUUCUGCAUUCGAUACGGGCUAGCUAGAGUGUGGUAGGGGAGAUCGGAAUUCCUGGUGUAGCGGUGAAAUGCGCAGAUAUCAGGAGGAACACCGGUGGCGAAGGCGGCAUCCUGGACCAACACUGACGCUGAGGAGCGAAAGCCAGGGGAGCAAACGGG
rnacentral:rRNA from 1 species